UCCUACGGGAGGCAGCAGUGAGGAAUUUUUCGCAAUGGGGGAAACCUUGAAGCAGCAACGCCGGCUGAAGAAGAAGGCCUUCGGGUUGUAAAGAUCUGUCAGGUGGAAGAAUGUACCCCGAAUGAACAGUUCGAGGAGUGACGCCGUGCCACCAGCCGCAGUAU
rnacentral:rRNA from 1 species